rnacentral:lncRNA from 1 species
GGCCGGAAGGCGGGGCCUCGAUGGGAAACAAAACUGAUACGGAGGCUGAGCAGACACUCUGCGUAAGAUCAUCAUGCCGAACAUAAACUGGACUUUCCCACUUGCCUGGCAGGAGUGAGACAGAUCACUGUGUGCUAAAUGAGCAUCUGAGAAGAGGAGAGAUGGAAUGACUUGGGCAAGAUACACAGUCAGUAGAUGGGGGUCCUGCUGCCUCUGCUUGUGAUGCUGGACUACAGCCUGGCACAGAACUUCUUUCCAUCCUUAUUUCUCUGAUGACUGCAAGGUGAUUAAAUCAAACUUCAUUCAUUGAGGAACUCAGCGGAUUAUUUUAUUCACUUCUGACCAAGAUGGAGAAAGAGAAACCAGAUUUACCCUUCCAUCUGAAACAACCAAAACAAAAAACAGACAAAAUAGGAAGCAGUGCUUUUAAAGAUACUGGACAUCAGGCGACAGGGGACAGUAAUCCCUGAGAGACAGAAAAUGAG